rnacentral:sRNA from 1 species
GAGGCCGAGCUGCGCGCAGCAACCGCGCUGCGGCAUUGGGAGUUCUCUGGUGGGGAUGAAGUAGCGGUCGUCAGAGGCCUGUUGGGAGAUUAUCGCGGGCGUCGGUGGAAGAGAGAGGAAUUCCGCGUUAAAGUGGUGAUCUGUAUGUGGCAUUUUCUCUAUUUUCUCCAUUUUCUCCAUUUUCUCUGUGGGAGAUAGGUUCACGGCUGGAGGUUGGGUUGCUCGUGCUGUAUCUUCUUCCAGAAGCGCCGCAGCGUCUUUCUUGGAGAAGGACGUCUGGCGUCCUGGGAGGCCGAUGGUAGGCAGUGUGUGUGAGAACCGAUCGGCCCUUGGGGUUUGAUAGCAGGUUGAUGAGCAGCUCUCCGUGGGGCUGGGGAUGUCCUUGAAAGGGUUUCCCGCCUCUUCAGUGUAUUCAUGAACGGUCGGUUGCUGUCUGUUGUCUAUGCUCCCGUACCAGCGCGGAGAGGACGCGAAGAGCGUGGCUGG